AUGUAGUAUCCCACAAGCCACUGUACUCUGGUAAUGUGAGAGUGUUUCACCCGCUACAUUAUGUCCAGUACUUGAUUAACCAUUGUUUCACACUGAUGAAGUAGUCUGUUCUCUUCAUGAUUCAGAUCCUCUUCAUAAUCCCUUUUCUGUAAAUCUCCUCUUUUCAUUAUACAGCCAUAAUUAUUUCUUUCUGUAGAGUGCAUAACCUAACACCUAUGUACAUUGAGUGCCAAGGUUUGAAACCAUAAUAAGCUGAAUGCUCACCUUAGAAGCCAUUAUUUCAAUCAUUAGAACACAGUUUAUUCCUCUAGAGAACAUUAACAUUUGAAAAUGUGUCAACUAGAGUAUGAAAUUUAUCAUGAUUAUGGACCACCUGCCAACUAAUUAGAAUACAACAUUCUGAUUUCCUGUACUCCAGUAUUAAUCUAACAUUUGACAUCAGUUUAUAUUUUUAAGUUGUUUCAGUUCAGUGCCUGGCAAAUCGCUCGUGAAGGCCAAAGAAAUGUGAUUUGAAACUGAAAAGAAACUGCAAUCAAGAGGAGGUGAAGAGCCAAAUACAAGUUCAAAGUGCUGCUUCAAAAGACCCAAUUUGCCAUGCAAACAAUGACAAAAUCUUAUGGCAGCAGCAGGGGCAAAGGAAGCUAAAAAUUGCUAUUGUUGGGUUAAUCUGUAGUUGUUUAAAAAAAGUAAUCUCCCAUUCUUGAGCUAAAAAAUCUUUUAAAGGUAAACUGUACUGCAAAUAUGAAAAAAUGAGUUAUGCCUAGAAAUAUUUGCUGGGUGUCCCCACUAUCUAUAAUAAUAUGUUUACUUUAAGUACAUAUUCAGCCACUAGGUGUCUCUGUGUGCUGUUUAUAGUUCCAUACAGGGUGUGGUUGCUGGUAAACAAAGAAAUCCAAGCUGGAGCUUAAGCAGUUUAUUUGUUGUUAUAAUUGUUUUCUUUGAGAAAUUCUUUGAGACCUGUUUUAUUCUACAUAUUAUUAAAGUGAUCAUGCUGUGAAAUAAUCUGACACCUUAAAGACAUUCCAGAAAGCAACAUUCUGUAACAUCAUUAUUAACUGAAGUCCAAUGGAACUCAUGGUAUCAAUAAUGUCACAGAAUGAUGCAUUCUGGGUUGCUGCCAGUGAACUCACAGGUCUCAGAUGAUUUCAUUUCACAGAAAAAAGGAAAAGAAUUUUUAAAAUGGUAAAUUGACACUUAUUUCUCUGCUGAAUGCCUCUUCCUUUCAGAGCCAAGUUAGUGGGCACAUUUUAUCACAUAUUUCAGGGUUUAACAUACCUCUCAAUUUGCGAAGGCCAAAAUAUGGGACAUAGUGUGUGGCAAAGACCUCAAAUAAGAGAUGUACAAAUAUUAUUUGGGCAGGAAAUGUAAAAUGCUUUGAAUUGACUCCUUUGAUGCAAAUAGCUCUUUCUGUAACCUCUGUUGUAUCCUUCUUUUGUUUCUGAUCAGAGUCAUUUGCUGCAAUAAAAGGGAGAGGGCACUAGAUUUCGAUAGAAUGUCACCUUAACGGGCAUGUUCCAACAUUUCAUCAGCAAGAUAUUCUGGACUGGGCCCUAAAUGCCUACAUUGAAUUAAGCAACAACAAACAAUAGGAGAACUCAAGUAACGUUGCAGUCUUGGUCAAAGUUGAACCGAGCUGCAAAGCACUGGAGCGGAAACUUGGCUCGCAAUAUUUUAAGGCAAGCUCUUUCCAAAACAUCUUAGUGAAAGAUACUGUAGGUGGCAUGAAUGGCAGAU